rnacentral:rRNA from 1 species
AAUACCAAAGCGAAGGCAUCUUCUGGAACAUUACUGACGCUGAGGCGCGAAAAGCGUGGGGAGCAAACAGGAUUAGAUACCCUGGUAGUCCACGCCCUAAACGAUGAAUGUUAGUCGUUGGUAUCCUAGAGAUAUCAGUGAUGCAGUUAACACAUUAAACAUUCCGCCUGGGGAGUACGGUCGCAAGAUUAAAACUCAAAGGAAUAGACGGGGACCCGCACAAGUGGUGGAGCAUGUGGUUUAAUUCGAAGAUACGCGAAGAACCUUACCUAGCCUUGACAUAUUUUAGAAUCUUUUAGAGAUAGAGGAGUGCCUUCGGGAGCUAAUAUACAGGUGCUGCACGGCUGUCGUCAGCUCGUGUCGUGAGAUGUUGGGUUAAGUCCCGCAACGAGCGCAACCCUCGUCACUAGUUACUAACGGUUCGGCCGAGGACUCUAGUGAGACUGCCUUCGCAAGGAGGAGGAAGGUGAGGACGACGUCAAGUCAUCAUGGCCCUUACGGCUAGGGCAACACACGUGCUACAAUGGCCAGGACAAUGAGAGGCAAUACCGCGAGGUGGAGCAAAUCUAUAAACCUGGUCUCAGUUCGGAUUGUAGUCUGCAACUCGACUACAUGAAGCUGGAAUCACGUAGUAAUCGUAGAGUCAGCUA